rnacentral:rRNA from 1 species
AGGUUACUGCUAUCGGUGUUCGCCUAAGCCAUGCGAGUCAUAUGUUCGUAAGAACAUGGCGUACUGCUCAGUAACACGUGGAUAACCUGCCCUUGGGUCCGGCAUAACCCCGGGAAACUGGGGAUAAUUCCGGAUAACGCACAUAUGCUGGAAUGCUUUAUGCGUAAAAUGGAUUCGUCUGCCCAAGGAUGGGUCUGCGGCCUAUCAGGUAGUAGUGGGUGUAAUGUACCUACUAGCCUACGACGGGUACGGGUUGUGAGAGCAAGAGCCCGGAGAUGGAUUCUGAGACAUGAAUCCAGGCCCUACGGGGCGCAGCAGGCGCGAAAACUUUACAAUGCGGGAAACCGUGAUAAGGGGACACCGAGUGCCAGCAUCCUAUGCUGGCUGUCCGGGUGUGUAAAAUACACCUGUUAGCAAGGGCCGGGCAAGACCGGUGCCAGCCGCCGCGGUAACACCGGCGGCCCGAGUGGUGAUCGUGAUUAUUGGGUCUAAAGGGUCCGUAGCCGGUUUGGUCAGUCCUCCGGGAAAUCUGACAGCUUAACUGUUAGGCUUUCGGAGGAUACUGCCAAACUUGGAACCGGGAGAGGUAAGAGGUACUACAGGGGUAGGAGUGAAAUCUUGUAAUCCCUGUGGGACCACCUGUGGCGAAGGCGUCUUACCAGAACGGGUUCGACGGUGAGGGACGAAAGCUGGGGGCGCGAACCGGAUUAGAUACCCGGGUAGUCCCAGCCGUAAACGAUGCUCGCUAGGUGUCAGGCAUGGCGCGACCGUGUCUGGUGCCGCAGGGAAGCCGUGAAGCGAGCCACCUGGGAAGUACGGCCGCAAGGCUGAAACUUAA